UGGGGAAUCUUGCGCAAUGGGCGAAAGCCUGACGCAGCGACGCCGCGUGAGCGAUGAAGGCCUUCGGGUCGUAAAGCUCUGUGGAGGGAGACGAAUAAGGGUUGGCUAACAUCCAGCCCGAUGACGGUAUCCCUUUAGCAAGCACCGGCUAACUCUGUGCCAGCAGCCGCGGUAAGACAGAGGGUGCAAACGUUGUUCGGAAUUACUGGGCGUAAAGCGCGUGUAGGCUGCUCGCUAAGUCGGAUAUGAAAGCCCUGGGCUCAACCUGGGAAGUGCAUACGAAACUGGCGAGCUGGAGUCCUGGAGAGGAAGGCGGAAUUCUCGGUGUAGAGGUGAAAUUCGUAGAUAUCGAGAGGAACACCGGUGGCGAAGGCGGCCUUCUGGACAGCGACUGACGCUAAGACGCGAAAGCGUGGGGAGCAAA
rnacentral:rRNA from 1 species